AGAGUUUGAUCAUGGCUCAGGACGAACGCUGGCGGCGUGCCUAAUACAUGCAAGUCGAGCGAGCUUGCCUAGAUGAUUUUAGUGCUUGCACUAAAUGAAACUAGAUACAAGCGAGCGGCGGACGGGUGAGUAACACGUGGGUAACCUGCCCAAGAGACUGGGAUAACACCUGGAAACAGAUGCUAAUACCGGAUGACAACACUAGACGCAUGUCUAGAGUUUGAAAGAUGGUUCUGCUAUCACUCUUGGAUGGACCUGCGGUGCAUUAGCUAGUUGGUAAGGUAACGGCUUACCAAGGCAAUGAUGCAUAGCCGAGUUGAGAGACUGAUCGGCCACAUUGGGACUGAGACACGGUCCAAACUCCUACGGGAGGCAGCAGUAGGGAAUCUUCCACAAUGGACGAAAGUCUGAUGGAGCAACGCCGCGUGAGUGAAGAAGGGUUUCGGCUCGUAAAGCUCUGUUGGUAGUGAAGAAAGAUAAAGGUAGUAACUGGCCUUUAUUUGACGGUAAUUACUUAGAAAGUCACGGCUAACUACGUGCCAGCAGCCGCGGUAAUACGUAGGUGGCAAGCGUUGUCCGGAUUUAUUGGGCGUAAAGCGAGUGCAGGCGGUUCAAUAAGUCUGAUGUGAAAGCCUUCGGCUCAACCGGAGAAUUGCAUCAGAAACUGUUGAACUUGAGUGCAGAAGAGGAGAGUGGAACUCCAUGUGUAGCGGUGGAAUGCGUAGAUAUAUGGAAGAACACCAGUGGCGAAGGCGGCUCUCUGGUCUGCAACUGACGCUGAGGCUCGAAAGCAUGGGUAGCGAACAGGAUUAGAUACCCUGGUAGUC
rnacentral:rRNA from 1 species